rnacentral:rRNA from 1 species
GGAAGGUCCGGGCGUUAUCCGGAUUUAUUGGGUUUAAAGGGAGCGUAGGCCGGAGAUUAAGCGUGUUGUGAAAUGUAGGUGCUCAACAUCUGCACUGCAGCGCGAACUGGUUUCCUUGAGUACGCACAAAGUGGGCGGAAUUCGUGGUGUAGCGGUGAAAUGCUUAGAUAUUACGAAGAACUCCGAUUGCGAAGGCAGCUCACUGGAGCGCAACUGACGCUGAAGCUCGAAAGUGCGGGUAUCGAACAGGAUUAGAUACUCUGGUAGUCCACGCCGUAAACGAUGACUACUAGGUGUCGGGGAGCAAAGCUCUUCGGUGCCGCAGCAAACGCAAUAAGUAGUCCACCUGGGGAGU